rnacentral:rRNA from 1 species
GGCCCGCCCGAGGACCCUAAACUCUGUUUUUAGUGGAACUUCUGAGUAAAACAAACAAAUAAAUCAAAACUUUCAACAACGGAUCUCUUGGUUCUGGCAUCGAUGAAGAACGCAGCAAAAUGCGAUAAGUAAUGUGAAUUGCAGAAUUCAGUGAAUCAUCGAAUCUUUGAACGCACAUUGCGCCCGCCAGUAUUCUGGCGGGCAUGCCUGUUCGAGCGUCAUUUCAACCCUCAAGCUCAGCUUGGUGUUGGGACUCGCGGUAACCCGCGUUCCCCAAAUCGAUUGGCGGUCACGUCGAGCUUCCAUAGCGUAGUAAUCAUACACCUCGUUACUGGUAAUCGUCGCGGCCACGCCGUAAAACCCCAACUUCUGAAUGUUGACCUCGGAUCAGGUAGGAAUACCCGCUGAACUUAAGCAUAUCAA